rnacentral:lncRNA from 1 species
GCUGCCUCCGCGGGCCGCCGGCGGGCGUCGGUACUGCGGCAUCGGGCGGAGCGCGGGGCUGCGUGCCGGGAGCGGCGGGAGGGCAGCGUCCGCCUGCUGCUGGGCGGCGGGGCCGCUGCGAGAGGGCCGCGGGAAGAGCGCGGGGCUGCGGCGAUGGACUGAGGCGGCGGGGGCUGCCGGCCCGGCGCCGAGAAUGAAAAGGGGCUUCUGCGGGGGGAAGGAAUAGAUGUCAUCUUGAAACGAACGGCGGUGGUGUUGCUCGGUGAUGGAAGGGAUGGUCGUCACCGUGAGGCUGGAAGCUCUUACCCAAAAGCACAGAUCCCUGUCCUUGGGUAGAGGACACCGUUCCAGUGUCGGCCUACAUGUACAGAAGAGUGAAAUUCCAGUCUUCAGGAAGCCAGUGACAAGUGAAAUCAAGAGAAAACAUCUCAGAUAUGUGGGGUAUUUAGGAUAAAAUCUCCUUUCUUCUACUACUAAAGCACGGACUUGCAUUUUCAAAGAACUGCACUCCUGUGUGCAUAUGCACGCCCUCAGAAAGGCAGAUUGAUUCCAUGUGAGGCCGCAGAUUUCAUUCUGGCAGUGGGCCUUACGGAGGUGAAUAAAUUCUGCUGUGUGAAGAAUGUGCCACCUCGUCUGAGGAUUAUGUUCUCGUAACUUCACUGACCGCUGGUGACAGAGCUGGCUCUUUGGGAGGCACUGCUGCCUUGCAAUCAGAUGUAUCAGGCUUUCGGUGCAGCUUGGUGUUUCAGCUACAGGCCUUGGGCUUGAUUUAACUACGGUACUCUAAAAAUAACUAGAAAAAUAGUUCUGGAGGAGUGAAGUGAAAGUGUUCUGGAUGUCUCGGUUUGGAUUACACGUUAAUGGAAAAGGUACAUUAGAUAUUAAGAAAUCUAGACUGAAGCAGAAAGAAGAAAUGUGUCCCUUCUUCUUAGGGGAAUCUACCUGCUGAGAUGUGGGGAAGGGGAUAAGCAGAGGGAUAAGGAUAACAGAAAAUUCAGUGGACAAUAAAAGCUUAAAUCCUUAAACGGUGAAGUCAGCUUUUCCUCUCCAACUUAAGCAGAUAAUGAUUUUGACAGCAGAUAGAGCCUUGGUUGAUACGUAGCAAUGAGGUAACAUAAAGGAAUUGUAUCUCNAACCAAAGCCCUUCAAAAUAAAAAUAUUGGCAUAAUUAGAAAUGCUAUUAUUGGCUUUAUUUUUAUUUUUAAAAAGGUUAAAUUUCAUUCCUUGUGAUCCCCCAUAUAUCCAAAAUAAAACCACAUUCAUCAAUAGUUACAAUAGAUUCACUCCAGUCUACUUAAGAGGAGAAUUUAACCUAUAAUUUUUAUUAUAUU